rnacentral:rRNA from 1 species
UACGUAGGGUGCAGGCGUUAAUCGGAAUUACUGGGCGUAAAGCGUGCGCAGGCGGCUCCUUAAGUCAGAUGUGAAAUCCCCGGGCUUAACCUGGGAACUGCGUUUGAAACUGAGGAGCUCGAGUGUGGAAGAGGGGGGUGGAAUUCCAGGUGUAGCAGUGAAAUGCGUAGAGAUCUGGAGGAACACCAAUGGCGAAGGCAGCCCCCUGGGAUAACACUGACGCUCAUGCACGAAAGCGUGGGGAGCAAACAGG